UGCUGUGAGUCCUGUUUGUGGGAGUCUGACAUGACACUUGGCUGACACAAUAAACAUAGCGAGAGUCAAGAAACGCAACAGAACCUGCAAAAGCCAAAACACAUAAUGAUAGGCCAUCCACAGUAGCCAGUAAUAUAAAAGGUCAGUUUAUAGGGAAGUAAGAGAGAAAGAUAGAGGUGAAGAAGAGUGAAAAAGAGAGAGGGAGAGAGAGAGAGGCAGUGAGAUUGUGAAAUGAGUGUAUGAGCAUGUGUGCCUUUGUGUCCCUAUCACUCUGUGUUUGGUUCAUUCCCCAAAGGGUCUUAUUAUGCUUCGCGCUGGCUCCAACACAAAGGCAGCGUCUCUGUAUCUCAGCCCAUCCAGCUCCCCCAGAGAACAUUCGAGACACAGCAAAUCCAUUUGUUUGUCAGCUUCUGCCUCUAUUCGGACUCGGACUAAUCAGAUAUUAUUCUCUUUGAGAAGCAUACCACUGUGCAGCCUGGCCUAGCGCUACAGUAACGCUGGCCCAGCACUAAGAUAACAUCUCUAAGAGAGGACUUUUUGUACUUGUAAGCACUGUGCACCGACAUCAUAAAACAAUGUUAGAGGGUAAAUUAUAAAGGUAUCUCUCAGUGCAUCAAAUAAUCAUCUUUCUAGUAAUAAGGUCUUUACUUCUAGGAAAUAUCUUCCAUCUUAUUAACCAAUUACAGAUGAGCCUACUGGUGGGUAACUAAGUUUUUGGCCCUUGAAUUGGUUGAGGAUUAUUGGGAUAUAAGAGCACAAGGAAUACAAUAUCCUGUUUUUAAAAGCAGCCAUAUAAUCCAAGCCCAAGAGCAUGACACAGAUGGAAACCGAUGGCAGAUUACAUAUCUUGACAGUGCAGAGAAUAAAUUGCUUUUAAAGAAUGAGAGAGACACUACUGAAUACAGAAGACACUGCACCAGUGAUGGCGCAAGUAUACACCAAAUCCAUAUCUAUUGAUUGCACGGUCACAAGGUAGCCUCAUUUCUAUUGUCGGAUUUUAAAGAGGACCUAUUGUGCUUUUUCCCUUUCCUUUAGUGUGUUAAAUAGUAUUUUGUGCAUUUAAAAGGUCUGCAAAGUUACAAAGCCCAAAGUCCACGACAAACGGAGUUACUCUCGCCCACAGAAACAUUGCUCCUGAACUGCCUGAAACGCCUUGCUUGAAGUCCAGUCUUUUCUUCCGUAAUGUGGUGAUGUCACCAAGUAACACAUUUGCAUAAUACCUGCCUAGCGGAUAGUUUGG